rnacentral:rRNA from 1 species
CAUACCUCUAUGUUGCCUCGGCGGAUCAGCCCGUUCCUCACGGAACGGCCCGCCGCAGGACCCCUAAACUCUGUUUUUAGUGGAACUUCUGAGUAAAAAAACAAAUAAAUCAAAACUUUCAACAACGGAUCUCUUGGUUCUGGCAUCGAUGAAGAACGCAGCAAAAUGCGAUAAGUAAUGUGAAUUGCAGAAUUCAGUGAAUCAUCGAAUCUUUGAACGCACAUUGCGCCCGCCAGUAUUCUGGCGGGCAUGCCUGUUCGAGCGUCAUUUCAACCCUCAAGCCCAGCUUGGUGUUGGGAGCUGUUUUAGUUAACACUCCCCAAAUUGAUUGGCGGUCACGUCGAGCUUCCAUAGCGUAGUAAUUUACACAUCGUUACUGGUAAUCGACGCGGCCACGCCGUUAAACCCCAACUUCUGAAUGUUGACCUCGGAUCAGGUA